rnacentral:pre_miRNA from 1 species
CGAAUCCCAAUCCGUGCUGGGAUUUGGUUACACAACAGACCACAAGGGCUGAUGAGACUCCCAAGAUAAGUGAAGCU